GGACGUGUUGCUGCUUGCUCUCUCUGGUAUCACUGCUGGUAUCACAAUGUUAUAUACUCAGGGCAACUCUCAACAUGUCCUUCUUCUCAUCUCCUGCAGCGGUGUUAUUUCCAUAUUAAUGGUGAUCGGAAUGUUCUUAUCCAACACUUGGGCUUCAAGGCACUUGCCGUCACCGCAGGUGGGGGCUCCUCCAGCCCUGGACCCUGCCACCCACCUACCGCAACACCUGGAGACUCCAGUACUUUAGCAAGACUCCAAGAAACGUUUGGAUGGAAAUGGAGAACACGGGUGAACUAAAAAAUAAUAGCCUCUCCAGAGGAGAACUAAUGGAUACCUCACCAGACAUUAUUACUGGUCACGAUGGUGCCACGACUGCAGCUUCAGUGAUAUAUCAUCAGUGAGGGUCAUCUGUCUGGCACUACAGAACACAGAGCGUCAGAAUUUGGGGAGCAACACGAAGCUACACAGUGCCUGCUGACGUUCAUAAUGCACCAGAUAAACUCUCAGCGACAGAACAUUGGGGUUACCAUCGAUUCUGAUGAAGGUCUACCACGUUUUGAAGACUUGGAGUUAGGCUGAGUGGAUAAUUUUGGUUAGGUCGUAAAUCGCCUACUGAACAGCUCAACUACAAUCAGCCCUCUAUUGUCUUUUAGCUAAAUGCAAAGCUACUGACAGAUUGCUAUUAUCAUUAUGUACAUAUAUACAGAGAAGCGCUAAACCCGUAAUUCAUAUAGCCUCCCAGAGAAACAGGAACGGUACGCAGGUUUGAUCCAAUGAAGUGUAGGGUAGCUCCAGUUCCCUGAAUGAAGAGCCCUUGAUCGGCGUCAAAACACUUCUCUUGCAGGGAAUAAGCAGAUGGCACAGGACAUCGUCAAUAUUACGUCUUAAAUAACAUUAUUAUUAUUCAACUGGAAAGAAAAUAUCUUCUAAACACUGAAUGAUAACACAGGUCAGAGGAACUCGGUGACUAGUGAGGAUAAGUACGCAGGUCUUGAUAUCUCUGCGUGUAGAUAACCUAUAUUACAAGACCCAAAUGGUUACACUAUGUUUACUUUUAUCAACAUAUUUAUCAUUUAAAGUAGCACUUAGUACCGUAGCCAACGAAUAUAUAGAGUUAAAAUUAAAUCCUUACUAACUUCUUUACUAGUAGUACUUACAUGGUAAGGCUCUUCACUACUUCAGCUAAAUGAAUUAUAUAUAUAUAUAUAUAUAUAUAUAUAUAUAUAUAUAUAUAUAUAUAUAUAUAUUUUUUUUUUUUUAUUAUCACACCGGCCGAUUCCCACCAAGGCAGGGUGGCCCGAAAAAGAAAAACUUUCACCAUCAUUCACUCCAUCACUGUCUUGCCAGAAGGGUGCUUUACACUACAGUUUUUAAACUGCAACAUUAACACCCCUCCUUCAGAGUGCAGGCACUGUACUUCCCAUCUCCAGGACUCAAGUCCGGCCUGCCGGUUUCCCUGAAUCCCUUCAUAAAUGUUACUUUGCUCACACUCCAACAGCACGUCAAGUAUUAAAAACCAUUUGUCUCCAUUCACUCCUAUCAAACACGCUCACGCAUGCCUGCUGGAAGUCCAAGCCCCUCGCACACAAAACCUCCUUUACCCCCUCCCUCCAACCCUUCCUAGGCCGACCCCUACCCCGCCUUCCUUCCAACUACAGACUGAUACACUCUUGAAGUCAUUCUGUUUCGCUCCAUUCUCUCUACAUGUCCGAACCACCUCAACAACCCUUCCUCAGCCCUCUGGACAACAGUUUUGGUAAUCCCGCACCUCCUCCUAACUUCCAAACUACGAAUUCUCUGCAUUAUAUUCACACCACACAUUGCCCUCAGACAUGACAUCUCCACUGCCUCCAGCCUUCUCCUCGCUGCAACAUUCAUCACCCACGCUUCACACCCAUAUAAGAGCGUUGGUAAAACUAUACUCUCAUACAUUCCCCUCUUUGCCUCCAAGGACAAAGUUCUUUGUCUCCACAGACUCCUAAGUGCACCACUCACUCUUUUUCCCUCAUCAAUUCUAUGAUUCACCUCAUCUUUCAUAGACCCAUCCGCUGACACGUCCACUCCCAAAUAUCUGAAUACGUUCACCUCCUCCAUAUAUAUAUAUAUAUAUAUAUAUAUAUAUAUAUAUAUAUAUAUAUAUAUAUUCUAACCACGAACGAGAGUUGUAUUGAAUCAAUAACAACACUGCGACUAGCCGAGGAUUCGAACCCAUGUCGUUUUGGCCCACCCUAUGGUGAGCGAAAAUCACAUAUGACGCUCUAACCCACAGGAUCACGUAAUCCUACAAAAACCACGCACCCAGCGUAGCUAGGAGUUUUAUCGUGACCCGAGGAUAUAUGGUGAUGUGGGUGCCUCUGAGCUAAUCUCAUUCUUCUCCCCGUUUAGUGUACUAGCCUCCACGAGCAGUAUUUUAUAUUACUGUAAGCAUAAACGAGUGGUGUUGAAUCAGUAACAACACUGCGACUAGCCGAGGAUUCGUCACAUAACCUUAAAUUAUGAGAAACUAAAACAUACAUCAGGUAAUGUCUGAUCUUAAUGAUAAUGUAGAAGUGAAUAUGUAUAGCAGAGUAUAUAUGUAAUAUCCAGCAGGAUGAACAAAUUAUCCUGGUGACUCACACUUUAGUCUCUUAGACAUACAAACAUUGUAAAUGUUAGUCCACCUAAUUACACACUAAAUUAUAUAAAAUUUUAAGCCAAAUAUUUGUAAUUUAACUUCGUUAAUUGUGAACACUGUGUCCGUUUUUUUAAUAAAUCUUCAUUUUUCACA